rnacentral:rRNA from 1 species
UACGGGGGGUGCGAGCGUUGUCCGGAAUCACUGGGCGUAAAGGGCGCGUAGGUGGUCUGAUAAGGGUGUGGUGAAAGCCCGGGGCUCAACCCCGGGUCGGCCGUGCCGACUGUUAGACUAGAGUGCUGUAGGGGCAGGCGGAAUUCCGGGUGUAGCGGUGGAAUGCGUAGAGAUCCGGAGGAAGACCGGUGGCGAAGGCGGCCUGCUGGGCAGUUACUGACACUGAGGCGCGACAGCGGGGGGAGCAAACAGG